UACGAAGGGGGCUAGCGUUGUUCGGAUUUACUGGGCGUAAAGCGCACGUAGGCGGAUCGUUAAGUCGGGGGUGAAAUCCUGGAGCUCAACUCCAGAACUGCCUUCGAUACUGGCGAUCUUGAGUCCGGAAGAGGUGAGUGGAACUCCUAGUGUAGAGGUGGAAUUCGUAGAUAUUAGGAAGAACCCCAGUGGCGAAGGCGGCUCACUGGUCCGGUACUGACGCUGAGGUGCGAAAGCGUGGGGAGCAAACAGG
rnacentral:rRNA from 1 species